rnacentral:misc_RNA from 1 species
UCGCUGGCCCCCGCAUUUGGAUAUAAGAGAAAGUUCGGCUUUGAGUUGAUCUCGCUGGCAGAGGUUGAAACUAAGAGAGCUGUAUGGGAGAACAACUCUCAUUUAUAUAUGUGUGAGUAUGGAUGUGACACACGGGUGUGUGAGUGCUCCAAAUUGCUUUUGAUGUGAUUAUGACUUGAUCUGUUUGAAUUAUGUGAAGGUGUUGCAUUCAUUUUUAGGGAUGCACUAGACUUAGGUAGUUAUAGAAAUUGUAUGUAAAAUCAAUAUCUUACUCAAUGAGUCAAACGUUCACUCUUGCUCACCUUAAUUUUUUCAGGUUAUAAGAGAGUUUAUUCUUGUGUUUAACCUGCUUUAUUCCUCGCAGAUCCAUUAGUUACUAUUUUCAUAUUUUGUAUUGUUAAAUUUGA